ACGAACGCUGGCGGCGUGCUUAACACAUGCAAGUCGAACGGUGAAGCGCCUUCCUUUUUGGUGGGUGUGGAUGAGUGGCGAACGGGUGAGUAACACGUGAGUAACCUGCCCCCUUCUUCUGGAUAACCGCAUGAAAGUGUGGCUAAUACGGGAUAUUCUGGGUCUGUCGCAUGAUGGGUCUGGGAAAGAUAUUGUUUCGGUGGGGGAUGGGCUCGCGGCCUAUCAGCUUGUUGGUGGGGUGAUGGCCUACCAAGGCGGUGACGGGUAGCCGGCCUGAGAGGGUGGACGGUCACACUGGGACUGCGACACGGCCCAGACUCCUACGGGAGGCAGCAGUGGGGAAUAUUGCACAAUGGGCGCAAGCCUGGUGCAGCGACGCCGCGUGAGGGAUGGAGGCCUUCGGGUUGUGAACCUCUUUCGCCAGUGAAGCAGGCCUGCCUCGUUUGUGGGUGGGUUGACGGUAGCUGGAUAAGAAGCGCCGGCUAACUACGUG
rnacentral:rRNA from 1 species